GUGACACAGACUAACAUAGAAACGGGACGGGAGUGAAGAUAGAGAUAGUGUCCUCCACCAAUCCUUACGGCGGACUCACGGCAGCGCACCGACGGUGACAAGCGACAGUGGUUCCAUCAAUGAUGUCGGUUCGGUGUUACAGGCGACCGGAGGACGAGGGUUCCAUCAGUGAUGUCGGUUCGGUGGUGUCCAGGUGGUGUACGAUGUCGAAGGGAGGCGGUGGCAGAAUUUGGAACUAGGGUUCCGGCCGGUUACCAUAUCCCACAGCCGAUCUGGCUUCAAGACGAUGUCCCCGGCAACAUGCAAUGGCCGGGCAGUUAGGGUUUCGCCCCAAACAGGGGGUGUUUCAUGUGGUGCUCUCCGGCGACGUCAGGUGGUGACGGAGUAACAGAAGCAGGUGACAAUAUCCGGUAACAAUUGUUUUUGGUGUCCAGGUGCAAUCCGUCGAUCGGCUGGUCUGGUCCUAAUUCUAAUAAUCAGGUCUGACAAAUCUUUAAUCUUUAUUGUUUUUUGGUCGAGGGUUUUGUUUGGUUCUGGCAAUUCUUUGUUCCCUUGUGAAAUUUCACAUCUUUUUGCCAGAAUUGUAAUGGGUUUUGGUUAGGUUUAAUUAUUUGUUCUUUGGUAUUGAUUUACUUUUCCAUGGACUAAUCGUAACCCUAAAUCAGUGUUUCGCCUUCUCUUGCACCGACGUAACUCCUGAUUCACCCGUGUUCGCUUCAAUUUACGUGUUUUAAGUAAGCUCCCAAGUCUCAGUCAUCUUUCAGGUACGUGCAGUCCGUUACGAGAUGAGGAUGGGCAACAAACGUUUCUGCAAGCACGUCAACAUACGUCUAUUCUUGCACCACAUGUUCCGAAGGAUCUGUUUUUUACUUCGUCUUCUUAUGUCGCGGGUAUUGUGAAGCACUAAAGUGCGCUUCUGGUAUGCGGAAAAGUAUUUCGUUGUCUUCCUUACAUCAAAGACCCAAGCCAGUCGCGAUAGUGGGUCAGUUUUGUUAAUUGCAGGUUGCAAUUCUUAACAUACCAGUUUCAAAGUUGUGCAUUGCUGGUAACAAGACACAUAUGUAGAGAACAAAAUUGCUCAGACCUUGACGAGUGUCAACCGUGUUACUACAAAUGAUUCAUAAUAAAUCAGAUUGCGUAGAGUGCCA
rnacentral:lncRNA from 1 species